UUUCCUGUAUUUCCCUAGUGUAUUUGGAUUUGUUCUGUUUCCCUUGUCCUUGCCUGGAUUUUGGAUUUUGGACUUUGCCUGCACUGUUUCGGAUUUGUUUACCUCUGUUGAACUGCUUCUCUGGUUUUGACCCCUGCCCUCCUGACCAACCUGCCUUCUUGCCUUUGCUGAUGACUGCUGCAGCUCAGUCGCCUGGGAUGGGGAUCCACAGAGUAACCGUUAUCAACAUCUCCUCCAUUCUCAGCUCCAUUACAUAUAACUGGGGUCAAGGCAGCACUGAACAUGGUGACACAGUGUCUAGCUGCUGAUUUGGGGUCAGAUGGGAUCCUUGGUAUUUCUCUGCACCCUGGCUGGGUCAAGACUGACAUGGGAGGGCCUCAUGUAAGUAUUCUAUCAUUU